rnacentral:rRNA from 1 species
AUUGAACGCUGGCGGCAGGCCUAACACAUGCAAGUCGAACGGUAACAGGAAGCAGCUUGCUGCUUCGCUGACGAGUGGCGGACGGGUGAGUAAUGUCUGGGAAACUGCCUGAUGGAGGGGGAUAACUACUGGAAACGGUGGCUAAUACCGCAUAACGUCGCAAGACCAAAGAGGGGGACCUUCGGGCCUCUUGCCAUCGGAUGUGCCCAGAUGGGAUUAGCUAGUAGGUGGGGUAACGGCUCACCUAGGCGACGAUCCCUAGCUGGUCUGAGAGGAUGACCAGCCACACUGGAACUGAGACACGGUCCAGACUCCUACGGGAGGCAGCAGUGGGGAAUAUUGCACAAUGGGCGCAAGCCUGAUGCACCAUGCCGCGUGUAUGAAGAAGGCCUUCGGGUUGUAAAGUACUUUCAGCGGGGAGGAAGGCGAUAAGGUUAAUAACCUUGUCGAUUGACGUUACCCGCAGAAGAAGCACCGCUAC